GUGUAUGGUCGUACUACCCUGAAUGCACUAGAUCUAGUCUGAUCUCUGAAAUUAAGCAGUGUUGGAUCUGAUUAGUACUUGGAUGGGAGACCACCUGGGAAUAUCAGGUCCUGUAGGCU
ensembl:rRNA 5S_rRNA 5S ribosomal RNA